AACGAACGCUGGCGGCAUGCCUAACACAUGCAAGUCGAACGAGACCUUCGGGUCUAGUGGCGCACGGGUGCGUAACGCGUGGGAACCUGCCCUUAGGUUCGGAAUAACUCCCCGAAUGGGGUGCUAAUACCGGAUAAUGUCUUCGGACCAAAGAUUUAUCGCCUUUGGAUGGUCCCGCGUUGGAUUAGCUUGUUGGUAGGGUAAAAGCCUACCAAGGCGACGAUCCAUAGCUGGUAUGAGAGGAUGAUCAGCCACACUGGUAGGAGGACACGGCCCGGACUCCUACGGGAGGCGGGAGUGGGGAAUAUAGGAAAAUGGGCGAAAGGAUGAUCGAGCAAUGCCGGGUAAGUGAUGAAGGCCGUAGGGUUGUAAAGCUCUUUUAACCGGGAUGAUAAUGACAGUACCGGGAGAAUAAGCUCCGGCUAACUCCGUG
rnacentral:rRNA from 1 species